GUAGGUGGCAAGCGUUGUCCGGAAUUAUUGGGCGUAAAGCGCGCGCAGGCGGUUCUUUAAGUCUGAUGUGAAAGCCCACGGCUCAACCGUGGAGGGUCAUUGGAAACUGGAGAACUUGAGUACAGAAGAGGAAAGCGGAAUUCCACGUGUAGCGGUGAAAUGCGUAGAGAUGUGGAGGAACACCAGUGGCGAAGGCGGCUUUUCUGGUCUGUAACUGACGCUGAGGCGCGAAAGCGUGGGGAGCAAACAGGGAUUAGAUACCCUGGUAGUCCACGCCGUAAACGAUGAGUGCUAAGUGUAGGGGUUUCCGCCCCCUUAGUGCUGCAGCUAACGCAUUAAGCACUCCGCCUGGGGAGUACGGCCGCAAGGCUG
rnacentral:rRNA from 1 species